rnacentral:rRNA from 1 species
UACGAAGGGGGCGAGCGUUGUUCGGAGUUACUGGGCGUAAAGGGCGCGUAGGCGGCGAUCCAAGUUAGGCGUGAAAGCCCCGGGCUUAACCUGGGAAUAGCGCUUAAGACUGGACUGCUUGAGUGCGGGAGAGGUGAGUGGAAUUCCCAGUGUAGAGGUGAAAUUCGUAGAUAUCGGAAGGAACACCAGUGGCGAAAGCGGCUUCCUGGUCCAGCACCGACGUUCAGGCACGAAAGCGUGGGGAGCAAACAGG